CGUGAUCAACAAUGGCAUGUGGGCACACUUCAAUUGCUGAUACUGCUGCUGUUGCUGCUGCUCGAUCAAAUGUUUCACACGAGCGUACCUUGGUGAGCGUCGAGUAUGUACGUGUGAACAAUAUUGAUAAAGAGACUCCUGGUCACCUCUACGGAACUGUGAAGGUCAAGGACUUUUGGGGUCUUCAUACGGUGUAUGAUCGGAGUUCAAGUGACUACGAGAGCAAAGGUCCUGGCGAAUUUGCCACAUUGACAGGCCCUUCUGAUGCUAUUUCGGGCUAUGGUGUAUUUGUUAUCAGCGUCAGUUUGUGGGACCACGACAGCUUGUCCCCCAAGGAUGAGAUUGCUCAAGGCGACAUCGUGUGGGAAUCAAGAAACGAGAAUCUAACUUUCGCCAAUUACGACAAGCGUUUGGAGAAGGUUGUGUUUGGUCAAUAAGGCAGUGUUGCUGUGGGUUACUCCGUAGUAAGAUAUGCUCUUAACGCCACUGUCAAUGUUUUGCUGAUCAACGGGGAUAAUGAAACGCCGGCGGAUGUGCAUGGAACAAUUAAAGCUUCGCAGGUUAUAGGGGAAUCAGAGACAUCCCUCACAUUGUUUGAGAAAUCAUCUGGUGAAUAUGUCUAAGCGAAUCCCAAUCAAUCUCUUCCCUUGACUCGCUCGGUUGUGGUAGCACCAGUGAGUUCCGGAUUAACAAUCACGAUAGAUUUGUGGAAUUAUGAUAUGUUGUCACCUGAUGACCAAAUUGCCAAGGGAAGUGCACACUUUGAUGCAGUGGUCGGAACCCAAACCAAGAGCAUAUAUGGUGAAUAUGGUGAAGUGCAAGUAUCCGUCACUUGCUAGUAAUGGUGGAAGCAACACUCCCAUUGCCCAACCUUGCCUGUCGAUUUGUCGGUUGGGAUACAUUGUAAAUAAAUGGGGUGGGAAGGGUAGGAAUAUUGUUAUGCUGUUAUAUAUAUAUAUAUAUAUAUAAAGUUGUGUCACUGUUAGUUUUCAAAUAUAAUAAUAAGUUGUGAUUGUAACUGUUUCCGAACUCCAAAUGUCAACAAUAUUCAAGCCAAAAUUGAAGACUUCCUAGAUUUAAUUUUUGAAAAGAAGACUACAGAAGGAAAAACAGAACAAUUUUGGUUAAGAAUAAAUAAGGUGGAGAGCAUCAUUAUAAUCCUUGAUGAUGUUUGGGAAGAACUUGACUUGAAGGCUAUAGGAAUUCCAUUGGGUGAAGAUCACAAUAGUUGCAAAAUUCCAUUCGAUCUCAUGUAAUUGGUGUUUUCCCUACUAUCUUCGGUAUUUCUUCUAUUCUUUUUCUCAUCUUUAAAUUUUAUCUCCUACUUAAAAUCGUUUUACGAUUGCAUCUCCAUCUUAAUUUUAAAGAUUAAAACUCACUUCAUAUUUAUAAAGCCAUAUUACUUUGUCACUAUGAAUUUCUACCCAUUAAAAACUCUUAAUCAUUAAGUAUAUUUAUCCUUUUAAAUAAACUUAAUCACUAAAUAAUUUUUGAUUAAUGAAAUUUUACCGAUUCCCAAUUAGAAUUUAAAUAAAAUAUCUAACACAUUCACAUGGAAUUGUCCCUAGCUAGUAGUAAACAAAAAUCCUCACAUCUGUAAACAUUAUAUUUGAAGGUACUACUGAACUAUAGCAACUAUUUGGAGAUAUGAAGAUGAAGAUUUGGAUUGUCUUAGACUGACAAAUUUCACCACUCAAAAAGAAGUUUUCUUUUUUUUGAAAGGUAAUUAAGAUAUCAUUAAUAUUAUGCUUUACAAAAGAAGCCAUGAAGGGCAAUGAGCUGCAGAUCAAGCAGCAUCAAGACAGACUAUACAAGCUCAAAAACAACCUCAGGUUGUAAUAGGAUCAAAAGGACAACCAUCAAGAACCAACAUAUCAAGAAGGUCACCACGGCAGGAAAAAAACAGACCAAUCAUCACAGCACAACCCAAGGAAAUAAAAAACAGGUCAAUCUGUACAAAACAAUAUCCUGUCAACCCGAGUCAGCAGAAGCCUUUGUCAAAUCCAAGACCCAGCAAAAACAAAGCUUGAAGAUCUCAAAAGCAAGAAGAAAAAAAACCAAGGAAUGUUAUGUCAACCGGAGAAGGUUUCGAAGGUUUCAAUCAAGUCAUUUUCGUGCAAUAUUCCCCCCCUUUGGCAGAUCAUUAGCGGCCUAAUUGAACGAACAGGUUCAACAAAAGAUACUUUUUUAAGAAAAAAAUUGUUCAAUUUAGAAUAUGAUCUCAUAAGAAUGAGAGUGUUACUUAUUUAACUAAAAUGGUAGAAAAGCUCAUGUUAAUCCCUUGUCGUGUUGGCAUUUAAAGGAUACAUGGAAAAUAUGAUGUGGCAACGUUGGCAUUUAUAAGACAAGUGGAAAACAUGAGGUGGCAAUAAUGGACACAUGGCAUGUUAAAAUAAAAAAUAAAAGGUUUACUGAUUUAAUCUGAAAAAAAAAGCAAAUAACCACAGAAAAAAUCAAUUAAUAGAAAUCAAAUCCAGAAAAAAAAAACACUCAAAAGAAUCAAGAAACCAUAAAUUCUCUCCAUUUUUAUCUUUCUAGACCUUCAAUGGAAGAAGAAAUGUUGGGUGCUUUUCAGAUUUCUAACAUUUAAAACCCAAAAUCUAUUUCUAAAAUUUAAAAUUCGCAUCGUUUUUAUUGCAAUAUCAUAUUUUCCAUGUGUCCUGUAAAUGUCAGCAUGUUAAAGGGUUAAUGGUCAUCUAUGCUUUUCAUCCAAAAAUACUCUUACAUAUUGGAAAAUAGAUUUAAUUGGAUAUAAUAAAAAGAUAUGAAUUUAUUUAAUUGACUUUUGUAAUUGAGUUUAAUAAAGUAAACUUAUAGUCGAACGAAUAUUAAGGUAAUCGCUUGAUUUAUGAUUAAUUAGAUGCAUAAAGUGAUAUGUGUUCUUUCUUUGGGAUUUAAAACACUUUUCUUUUCAAUAUUCAAGUUACAAUAUCUUGGACCUUUGUACUUUAAUUUAAUUUCUAAUGGAAUUAUGAUAUUUUUAUGUCUUUGCAGCAAGUAUAUCAAGCUGAGUUGUAAUUGAGCAAUGCGUAUUCUGUGCUGGAAUGUGAUUGAUGCUGCUGCUCUUUUGAUGCUUUGAUGUGCACUUCGGUUAUCAGGCUGCUGUAUCUCUCUAACUUGGGAAAUGACGAGGGGUGCGAUACAAUUAAUUUCCAAUUACGACGUAGUUUAGCAAAUUUGGAAUAUGUGACAGUAGGAAACUAUGUGAAUAUAUUUCAAAUUCAAGCUGGACACUUCUUGUCAAGGCGAGAGCAUAUAUCCCUAUGGCAUUUACAUCAGUUGCAGGGUCCAAUCCAAGUUCCAAGCCUUCAAUGCCUUAGAAUUUUAAAGGUGUCAGAAUGUAAUAGGUUGAAAUUUCUCCUCUCUCCUAUGCUUGCUCGAUAAAAAUCUAUGGUCUAUCGUCUCAAUUUCUUUCAUCACUUCCAGCCUCCAUUCUUUCCAACAUCGGUUUCCAAGUUUUUAACCAUAGGAUUAGUUUCAACAGGUAGACCUAAAUAUGUAGUGGGAAAUUCUCCGACUCUGCACCUUACAGCCUCCGCCCAAACAUUAAGAACAAUGCUAUCAACAUCAAGUCCAUACAAAAAGCUCUUGCUGAAAUUUAUUUUAAGACUAGACACCAUUUGAAAACAUCGAAACACCCUUCUAAUAUAUUUUUUUGAAAGAUAGUUUUACUCGCAUCAGUGCUAGUGUGCCAUCCAUAAUCUCAAAUCUUUUGGUUUAAGACUAUUGUUGGCAUCAACCUAACCUGAGCUUCAAAAGACAAAGACUAUUCACACCUCAUUCUGCUGAAAAGACUUUGGUAGAAGUCUGUCCUAACCUGGCAGAAGCACCCUCCUAAUAUUAACAAGAUGCUCUAGUUUUACUUAUCGAAUCGUAUCAUCCGCAAAUUGUAAGUAAGAAAUUUGGCUCUCAUUUGUACCCAUUAGAAAUUCCUGACAAAGAUGUUUUCUUCGUUCGAACCAUUAAAACACUCAAAGAUUCUGUAAUCAUAUUGAAAAGAAAGAGAAAAAAAGAACACCCUUAUUUUAAGCCUCUCUUUAAAUUAAUUGAUUUGGUCGGUAACCCAUUAACCAAAAUUGAGACUUUAGCAAUUGUGAUACAAUCUUCAAUCCACCUCUUCCAUUUAUCUCCAUUAAGGUAUGCUUCAUUAAAAUAAUUCGAAGAAAGCUUGUUGAUCUCUUUUUUACUUUCAAUGUCUUUAAUGAUUAUAUCUUGAAAUCUUACGAAAAGACAUUUAAGAGCACAUACAUGAAGUCAAUUUUUCAUAAUUAGAAUUCAAUAUGGUAUUAGGUAUUAUUAGCGGAUUCAGCUUUGUUCAAUUUAUUCAUAUUUUUAUUAAAUAAAUUAUAAUAUAAUACAAUAAUAUUGAUUAUUUAAUUUUUGACCCUAUAAAUGUUCAAUAAUAUACUAUGUGUAGCAUUUUAGUAUGAUAUAAUUUUUAUAUUAGAUUCUAAAAUAUGUGUAUAAAUAUAUAUUAAAAUUUUAUUCUAAAUUUCUAACGUUUAUUAUAAAAUUUCAUCAUUUUUUACACAUUUUUUUUACCAAUAACUGUAGAUAUUUUUAUAUUUGUCCAUAUAUGCAUCCAUUAUCCGUGAAUGGUUGGUUGUUUUGGGUGCUCUUAUCCUUUGGUCAUAUCCGGUAAGUAGCUAGAGAGAUACUUUUCUAUGAAAGUCAUUGAAUCGAGCAAGCAAGUAUGUGGGGAAUAAAUGGACCACAUGGGAAAAAUGAUUGCAAAAUGAAAAAAAUACAAAGGACAGCAACAGAGGGAUCACAGGGAAAGAUGAUUGCAAAAUGACAAAAAUAAAAAGGACGGAGAAACAGAGGGAUCACAGGGAAAGAUGAUUGCAAAAUGACAAAAAUAAAAAGGACGGCAACAGAGGCAUCACAUCAAUUAUUCAAUAAUUUCUAUAUUCCAAGUGUUUUUGCUACCUGAAGAAGAAUCAUCUGUUGUUUCUUAAUUCCCUCUGCUAGUGGGCUUCUGAUUAUUUCUACUUGCGUUUUCUUUUUAUCAAAAUACAAGCUUAACCUUAUUGUAUUUAUUUGCUUCGGUCUGUAUUUCUACUUUAUAAAAUUUUAUUAAUACAUAUAUGAAAUAAAAGGCUGCUCCUAAUGCCUUAUUUUUUUCCCAAUCAGUUGACGAAAUAAAAUAAAUAAAUUAGAUUUGAGUCAACCCCAAAUUAAAUAAAAAAAUAAUUUUCUUUUUAUCAAAUCAACUCUCCGAUUUGAAUUGUGACACAAUCAAACCCAAAUUAGUUUCAAUGACAUAGUGCUUACAUGUCUGAAAUAUUAUCCAUACUUCAUUUACGAGCGAAUGUCCUUGAACCAUUAAGUAUAAUUUUUUUUAAGAAAAUUAAAUUAAUAAAAGCAAAACUCUGAAUAUAUUUACUUUUUAAUUAAAAUUUAAAUCAAAAUAUAAAAAAUUAUAUAAUAAUGUUGAUAGCAAAUGAUGGCCAAGGAGCUUAUAGAGGGAGCAUUUGGCACAUGAGAAGUGUGAGCUAUGUUGCCAAUUUGUCUUGUACGUCUUGUACAGUGAACCGCCUCAUCCACAAUAAAACGUGCCUUCUUUGUUUUCUCAACCACUGAAUGCAUUCAUACCUUUCAUUUUGCCCAUAAUAAAACGUGCCUUUUGUCCCGAGUUCUUUCAGUAUUUAAGCAGCAAGCACUGGCUCUAAUGGCCACACAAACACUUCCAUCUUAUCUUUGCAAACAAGAACGAGUGAUCAACAAUGCCAGGUGGGCACGCUUCAACUGCUUUCAAUGUUGAUGAAAAUGAUUACCAGAGAUUUAUCGAUGGCCUAAGAUCCAUACUCUCAUUCUCCAGAUCACAUCGUAUCGGUGUGCUCAGGCCACAGACAGAGCCUGUAAGCUGGUUAGAUAUUCGCCUAACUUCUGGUGAUUCCACCAUCUUCUUGAGAAUCGAUCAAAGAAAUCUAUACGUGCGUGGCUAUUCGAGAGAUAACGGUAGAACAUUUUGGGAGUUUUCGGAUUCAUCUCUGAUUUCUGGAUCGAGACCUCUCGCUUAUGGCGGAAGCUAUAUUACUGGUUACAAUUUGGUUGGUGCUGCCGGCGGAGAUGUUACCCGUGGAACUCUUCAACUGGGUUAUCAAAAUUUGAGGAAUGCCAUUGCUAACCUAGCAAGAACAGAGGACCCGAACUCGACCCAAAACAAUGCAUUGCAGAAUUGUGCUAGAGCACUGCUGAUUCUAACUCAAAUGAUUUCUGAAUCCACUAGGUUUCAAUUAAUCACCAACCACAUUGUCACAAACUGGCACAAUUCUGCACCACUUACUCCACAACUCGUCCGCUUGCAACAGUCCUUUGGCACUUUUUCUAGUGCUGUCCAACGUGCUGACUUCCUCAACCCGACAGGUCAUACACCCUUGCCUAACAUCCGGGAACCUAACGAAGCCAACAUUUGGACCAUAAGUCAAGCCGUUGCUGCACUUGGGAUUUUGCUAAAUGUCCCGCGCACAAGCAGCCGCAUGAAACGCCAAGCUGAUGUUGAUUUUGGCAAUGCUGGUACUGCGGAUAAUGCUGCUGUUGCUGCUGCUGAUACAAAUGUUUCAUACGUGCGUACCUUGGUGAGCAUUGAGUAUGUACGUGUGAACAAUAUUGAUAGUGAAGAUCCUGGUCAACUUUACGGAACAGUGAAGGUCAAGGACUUUUGGGGCGUUCAUCUGGUGUAUGAUCGGAGUUCAAGUGACUACGAGAGCAAAGGUCCUGGCGGAUUUGCCACAUUGACAGGACCUUCUACUGGUAUUUCGGGCGAUGAUGUGUUCGGGAUCAGCGUCAGUUUGUGGGACUAUGACAGCUUGUCCCCUAACGACGAGAUUGCUGAAGGCGACAUUGUGUGGGAACCAAGAAAUGAGAAUCUAACUUUUGCCAAUUACGAUAAGCGUUUGGAGAAGGCUGUGGCUGGUAAAUAUGGCAAUGUUACGGUGGGUUACUCCGUAGUAAGACAAGCUCUCAAUGCCACUGUCAAGGUUUUGCUGAUCAACGGGGAUGAUGAAUCAUCGGCGGAGGUGUAUGGAACAAUCAAAGCUUCGCAAGUUAUAGGGGGAUCUUCAACAUCCCUCACACUGUUUGAGAAAUCGUCAGGUGAAUACGUCCCAGUGAAACCCUAUCAAUCUAUUCCACUAACUCGUUCAGUUGUGGUAGCACCAGUGAGUUCUGGGUUAACAAUCACAGCAGAUUUGUGGGAUUAUGAUACACUGUCACAUGAUGACCAAAUUGCUAAAGGAAGUUUACACUUUGAUGCAUCGGUCGGAACCCAAGCUAAGAGCAUAUACGGUCAAUAUGGUGAAGUGGAAGUAUACGUCACUUUUGAGUGAUCGAGGAAGCAAUACCCCCUUUACCUAACCUUGCCUACCGAUCGGUCAGUUGGGAUACAUAGUAAAUAAAUGGUGUGAGAAGAGGAGGAAUAUUGUUAUGCCGUAAUAUACACACACACACAUAUAUAUAUAUAUAUAUAUAUAUUUUGAAUUGUUGGCAAGAGUUGUGUCUCUGUUAGUGGAUGCUAUCUGUUUUAUUUUGUUUGGAAAUUGGAUGUAAUGCAAAACCAAAUGGGACCAAACAAUAUGUUACUUUUCAAAUAAUAAUAAUAAUAAUGAUAACAAUAUGUCCCAAACUCCAAA
rnacentral:lncRNA from 1 species